AACCUAGCACACCUGCGGUGUGUACCUGCGGAGGGAUCAUUACCGAGUGUGGUCCCAUAUAAGGGGCGCCUCCCGUCCUUUGCAGGGCCUUUAGGGGCUUUUUGACUUUGCUUCGGCGGGCUCGCCCCGCCGGAACACCCUCAAGAAAAUCUUUAUGAACCGUUUGUCUGAGUUGCUUGCGAAUAAAAACAAAACUUUCAGCAAUGGAUCU
rnacentral:misc_RNA from 1 species